AUGGUCGUCGUUGUCGCGUCGAUCCCGCGGCCACCGGCAUCCCCGUCACCCGAGAGCAUGCCCUGGAGCUUCAGCACCUCCACCUCCACCGACUACGUGCAUCGGUUCGAGCUCGGACGCACCGGAAGCUCGCCAUCGCCCGUCUUCUUCGCCACGGCCACCGAUGUUCGUCGUCAGAUGCGCCGCCUCCCGAGCGCCCCCGACCUCCUGACCACGUCCACGAGCUCCGUGAUGAGCACCUCCACCGAUUCCCCCCUUUUUCCUGUCGAAUCCGUCGCCGUAGAACCUGUACGCCGCCGCGCCGGAGCUCGCGCUCACAGCGUCCUGGCCGUCCCAGGGGCACUCCCUGGCCGCGUCCCGCGUCCACUCACCGCGGCCGUUCGCGCGGCCGCCACCGCCCUUUUGCUCCUGCUGUUGUUCUUGCUGAUGCCGCUGCUUGCAAGCUGCUGCUCCUGUGAUAGCUGCUGCUGCACCGCGCCUGCGGCUCCCCGGCCGCGCACAGCCACGCUGGACCACACCCUCCUGCAGGCCAUGGCGUCGCCCGCUGCCGCUCGCACCCCGGCGUGCCCCGUACUGCUACGACUGCUGCUCUGUUGUUGCUAUUGCGCUGUGGCUUGGUUCUCUACUGCUGCUCUGUGCCCUCUGCUCCCGUAG
rnacentral:rRNA from 1 species